rnacentral:rRNA from 1 species
UACGUAGGGUGCAAGCGUUGUCCGGAAUUAUUGGGCGUAAAGAGCUCGUAGGCGGUCUGUCGCGUCUGCUGUGAAAAUCCAGGGCUCAACCCUGGACCUGCAGUGGGUACGGGCAGACUAGAGUGCGGUAGGGGAGAUCGGAAUUCCUGGUGUAGCGGUGAAAUGCGCAGAUAUCAGGAGGAACACCGGUGGCGAAGGCGGGUCUCUGGGCCGAUACUGACGCUGAGGAGCGAAAGCGUGGGGAGCGAACAGG